AGUGAACGCUGGCGGUAGGCCUAACACAUGCAAGUCGAACGGCAGCACAGGAGAGCUUGCUCUCUGGGUGGCGAGUGGCGGACGGGUGAGGAAUACAUCGGAAUCUACUCUGUCGUGGGGGACAACGUAGGGAAACUUACGCUAAUACCGCAUACGACCUACGGGUGAAAGCAGGGGACCUUCGGGCCUUGCGCGAUUGAAUGAGCCGAUGUCGGAUUAGCUAGUUGGCGGGGUAAAGGCCCACCAAGGCGACGAUCCGUAGCUGGUCUGAGAGGAUGAUCAGCCACACUGGAACUGAGACACGGUCCAGACUCCUACGGGAGGCAGCAGCGGGGAAUAUUGGACAAUGGGCGCAAGCCUGAUCCAGCCAUACCGCGUGGGUGAAGAAGGCCUUCGGGUUGUAAAGCCCUUUUGUUGGGAAAGAAAUCCAGCUGGCUAAUACCCGGUUGGGAUGACGGUACCCAAAGAAUAAGCACCGGCUAACUUCGUGCCAGCCGCCGCGGUAA
rnacentral:rRNA from 1 species